AUUGAACGCUGGCGGCAUGCCUUACACAUGCAAGUCGAACGGCAGCACGGGUGCUUGCUCCUGGUGGCGAGUGGCGAACGGGUGAGUAAUACAUCGGAACGUACCCUAUCGUGGGGGAUAACGCAGCGAAAGCUGUGCUAAUACCGCAUACGCCCUGAGGGGGAAAGCGGGGGAUCGAAAGACCUCGCGCGAUUAGAGCGGCCGAUGCCUGAUUAGCUUGUUGGUGGGGUAAAAGCCCACCAAGGCGACGAUCAGUAGCUGGUCUGAGAGGACGAUCAGCCACACUGGGACUGAGACACGGCCCAGACUCCUGCGGGAGGCAGCAGUGGGGAAUUUUGGACAAUGGGGGCAACCCUGAUCCAGCAAUGCCGCGUGAGUGAAGAAGGCCUUCGGGUUGUAAAGCUCUUUUGUCAGGGAAGAAACACCGGCUCUAACACAGUCCGGGAAUGACGGUACCUGAAGAAUAAGCACCGGCUAACUACGUGCCAGCCGCCGCGGUAA
rnacentral:rRNA from 1 species